AUGGCACCCAGCCUCUUGCAAUUUCUAAGCAUUCACUUUUCCUCCUUUUCCAAGUAUCCCCAACAUGAGGCAUUUCAUGACUAUCAGAAACCAAAUUCAAGAGAGCAGUACUGUCCAAUGGAAAUACAGUCACAAAUAAAAUUUUAAAUUUUCUGUAGGUACAUUUAAUAUGUCAAACAACAACAACAACAACAAAAAACAGGUGAAAUUAAUCUCACUGAUACAUUUAAAUUCUAUCAUUUCAAAAUGUAAUUGAUAUAAAAAUGUUUUUUAUGUAAGUCUUUGAAAUUCAGUAUGGAUUUUACACUUAGAGUACAUCUUAUUUCAUAUUUUAGGUGUUCAUUAGUCACAUAAGCUAAUGGCUACUAUAUUGGACAACAUAAUUCUAGAGGUUUUAGAUAAGAAGAUAUAUAUAAAAGGAGAUCUAGGUACUUGAGAAUUUCGUAAAAGAGAAAUUAGUUUAGUAAGAAUUACUCUAGCACAAUUGUAGGUCCACUCUUAAUAGUAAUCUUUUAAAUUUGCAGACCAAAUAGAAAUUCUCCUUAAAGCUCCUAAUUUUAAAAAAUUAUUUUGUAGGGUGCUUCUUUCUUCCCUUUCUAUUGGUUUUCCCCAGACAAGACUAUGUGUGGAUAUGUACUAUAAAACAUGUGUGCAUGGAAAAUUGUAGGGCCAGAUGCUUCCGGAUUAAGAGAACAUGACCAGAUCUGGAGAAGGAGCAGCUGGGAGGAGGAGCCUGACUCUCUUAGUAAAACUAGUUCCUUUGCUUUCCCAUGUGGUUGGCCUCAGCCUUGUCUUUUAAGUUAAGUGAUGGGGCUAAAAAAACUAAUGAGCCCCAGGAAGACCUGGGUUCCAGUCCCUGAUCUGCCACUUCAUUGCCUCACAACCUUGGGGAAGUCAUUUAUCCUCUCUGAGCCUCAGUUUCCUCAUUUGCAAAUUUCAAAUAACCAUCCUUCUGUAACUGACAAGGUUGUUGUAAGACUAUAAAGCACAUGUUAUUGUAUUUGUAUCUACAUGAGGAAUAAUUGUUAUUGAGCUGCAUCAUAUGAAACGUCAAUUUUUGAAAGUCAAAAACAGUCCAAUGUUGGUAAUUUUAAAUCAUUUGCUACUAUUCCAAGUAAAAGGAUACCCUGCAGAUGGUGCUUAUGCCAGAGGAGAGAAUAUUAUCCAUGGGGCAAUGGAAAGCUUUUGAAUGAGUUGUAUAAAUUGUUACAGAACUAUUAUAUAGAGAAAGAAUAGGCUUAAGUAUUAUCUUAGACACGCACAAACAUUCCCGUGAUGGCUGAACGUUACCGUUUUAGUUGGAUGCUUAGUUUUGCACAAUUGUAGAGAAAAUCAACAAAAUACUUUGUCACCUGGUUUUACGUUCUGGAGUAGCCUUGAUGAGAACCUAGAGCAGUGGUUCUUGACCUUGUCUGUAAGUUAGGAAUCACUGGGAAGCUUUAAAAAAAACCUUAACCCCCCAUAUCCAGAUCAAUUAGAUGACCAUUUCUGGGUGUUAGGGGGCUGAACUGCACCCUCUCGAAAUUCAUACACUGAUGUCCUGGUCCCCUGUACUUCAACAUACCAACCCAAACCUGCCAGCACUUUAAUCUUGGACUUCAGCCUCUAGAACUGCGAGAAAAUAAAUUUCUGAUUUUUAAGCCACCUAUUCUGUGGUAUUUUGUUAUGGUAUUCCUAGCAAAUUAAUACAGAUUUUCAGGAUGGGAUGUGACAUCAGGAAUUUUUCAGGCAUCCCAUGUGAUUUUAAGGGGCAGCCAAGAUUGAGAACCACGAGCCUAGAGGAAGAGAAAGAGGCCCAGGGUCAAGAUGAGUGAACAUGGGGAAAAACUAUGAAUGCUGUCAGUUACUUUCUGAAUACUGGUUAUCAUUAUCUUUCAUCCCUAGUGUGGCACCAUCAGUCACAAAAUCUCUUAAAGUUUCCACUUACAUCUGGUGACAGUAUGCAGUUAGCUAGUGUACCACCCAG